ACGGGAGGCAGCAGUGGGGAAUAUUGCGCAAUGGAGGCAACUCUGACGCAGCAACGCCGUGUGCAGGAUGACGGCCUUCGGGUUGUAAACUGCUUUCAGUAGGGAAGAUUAUGACGGUACCUACACAAGAAGCUCCGGCUAACUACGUGCCAGCAGCCGCGGUAACACGUAGGGAGCAAGCGUUAUCCGGAUUUAUUGGGCGUAAAGCGCGCGUAGGCGGAUGUUUAAGCGGAACUUUUAACCCGAGGGCUCAACCCCCGGUCGGGUUCCGAACUGGAUAUCUUGAGUGCGGUAGGGGCAGGCGGAAUUCCAUGUGUAGCGGUGAAAUGCGCAGAUAUAUGGAAGAACACCGAUGGCGAAGGCAGCCUGCUGGGCCGACACUGACGCUCAGGUGCGAAAGCUAGGGGAGCAAACAGGAUUAGAUACCCUGGUA
rnacentral:rRNA from 1 species